rnacentral:tRNA from 1 species
UCCCCGAUAGCUCAGUUGGUAGAGCGGGUGACUGUUAAUCACUAGGUCGCAGGUUCAACCCCUGCUCGGGGAG